rnacentral:lncRNA from 1 species
CUUUCUUCGAAAACUCCAAUGACACUUAAGCUUGUUGAAAGUGGAGGCCUUUCAGAUCCACAGAAGACGUUAAUUUUACAUCAGGUAGAAAAGCUUAGUUUCUUAUUUAUUUUAAAUAAAUAUUAUUUAAAAAUAUUAUAUUUUACAGAUAUGCUUUUAUUUUUUAUAGUAAAAUCUCUGAUUAUAAUUACAUCCCACAUUUAAGGCACCAUAUAUAUUAAAUAAUAUUUUUUCUUUCCUUUUUAGUCCUUUCUCUCACAUAAUCACCGUAAAUCCUACUAAUCACGUUCUCUCUCUUUUUGCAUAUACUUUACUCUCUUCUCCUGCAAACCCAUAAUUCAUAUCUCUUUUCUCACCCAAAUUCACUAGGUCUCCGCCAUUAUCACUCCCCAUUUCUUUUCUCUAUAAAAUCAUUAUUUUAGAGCCGAUACAAGUGCUUGGGGUAAGUUUUAGAUUCUUGCUUGGGGAAACUCAGUUUCAAACUCAUCCCAUCCGUCGAUGGCAGUUCCUUAUUGAUUAUGUUUCUUCAUGGCAGUUCCUUAUUGGUUAUGUUUCCUCAUGAUGCGGCUAAACAUUGGAAUCAAAUUACUGCCAAACAUUGGAAUCAAGUUAUAUUUAGUUUGGUCUUUGGUUACUUGAAGACGAUGAAACAAUAUUUGUGUUGCAAAAAAUGUUCGGUUAGGUAUGCAACUCGAUGAGACGAUAUUAUGGUUGUUCUUAAUCAAAGAUGGCGAAGUUUGGGCUGCACAACUUAAAGAUCCUGUUACCUUUUUAAGUGUAUUUCAAUGUAUCUCGUUUUAUUUCAUUAUAUCCUUUGUCUUUUUUUCAUUGUAUCUCGUUGUAUUCCAUGUAUUUCAUUAUAUUUCGUGUAUUCACUCUCUUUUUUAAUUAUAUUUCAUUGUAUCCCGUUGUAUUCUAUGUAUUCAUAUAUUUUUUCAAUCAAUAUAAUUUAUGUAUUCAGAUGUAUUA